UGACGCGGGAGGACAUUACUGA
rnacentral:rRNA from 1 species